AUGCCAUGCUUAUGUGAUGGUUGUUUACCAUGUUGCUUGCUUCUUUCCGGUUUGCUUGUCUCGUUAGCUUCGGUUUCGUUUCGGAGUGUGAGGAUUCGUUCAACUAUGUCCGCUUGUCUUCUUCACGGACUCGUUUUUCUUCCUAGCAGGAUUUCAGGCAAGAUGACCAUACCCUCGAAAUCACUUCUAUCUUUGCUUGCUAGUUGUUCGCUCUAUUGCUAUGCCGCGCUACCUAUCACUUGCUAUAUCAUGCCUCCCAUGUUGCCAUGUCAAGCCUCUAACCCACCUUGCCUAGCAAACCGUUGUUUGGCUAUGUUACCGCUUUUGCUCAACCCCUCUUAUAGCGUUGUUAGUUGCAGGUGA
rnacentral:rRNA from 1 species